rnacentral:lncRNA from 1 species
UCCCAAAAUAAAUGCACUUCUAGCAUUUAAAAUUUGUCCUCACAACAAAAGCACUAUUAGAGUAUAUAUGGAUCACCUAGGGGGCUGUUUAGUUCCUGGAAAUUUUACAAAAUGCUAAUAUAGUACUUUCGUUUGUAUUUAACCAUUAUUGUCCAAUCAUUACUAAAUAGGCUCAAAAGAUUCGUCUCAUAAAAUACAUGCGAACUAUAUUAUUAGUUAUUUUUUAUCUAUAUUUAAUGCUCCAUGCAUGUGCCGCAAAAUUCGAUGUGACGAGAAAUCUUAAACAUUUUGCAAA